GGUUGGACUUAAAUCCUUUCCAAACUUUUAUGGUGCACUUACAGGAGCCAUUGCUAAAAUGCCGUUUAAGGGAUUGACGCCGGAAGAUACUGUCAGAAACGCACUUAAAUUUGAAAAGGCAAAAUUUUUCAAAAAGGCAUAUCGACAAAAGAAAAAAAAUUCAGAAAACUAAUUUUUAAGUUAAUCAAAUUUAUAAAUUGGAAUUCUUUUAUUAUCCAUCUCAAAGAAGCACAUGCACAAA